rnacentral:rRNA from 1 species
GUAGGGGGCGAACGUUUGCUCGGAAUUACUGGGCGUAAAGGGUACGUAGGUGGCUGAGCAAGUCGUAGAUGAAAUCCCCGGGUUUAACUCGGGAACUGUCUCCGAAACUGCUCAGCUUGAGGAUGGUUGAGGAAAGCGGAAUUCCCGGUGGAGCGGUGAAAUGCGUAGAUAUCGGGAGGAACACCAGAGGCGAAGGCGGCUUUCUGGGCCAUACCUGACACUAAUGCACGAAAGCUAGGGGAGCGAACGGGAUUAGAUACCCCGGUAGUCCUAGCCGUAAACGAUGGGCACUAGAUGUUCUCACUCAUAGUGGGAGUGUCGUAGCUAACGCGUUAAGUGCCCCGCCUGGGGAGUACGGUCGCAAGGCUG